CCUACGGGUGGCAGCAGUGAGGAAUAUUGGUCAAUGGUCGCAAGCCUGAACCAGCCAAGUAGCGUGAAGGAUGACUGCCCUACGGGUUGUAAACUGCUUUUAUGAGGGAAUAAAAUGAGUCACGUGUGCCGUUUUGUAGGUACUGCAUGAAUAAGGACCGGCUAAUUCCGUGCCAGCAGCCGCGGUAAUACGGAGGGUCCGAGCGUUAUCCGGAUUAUUGGGGUUAAAGGGAGCGUAGAUGGGUUGUUAAGUCAGUUGUGAAAGUCUGCGGCUCAACCGUGAAAUUGCAAUGGAUACUGGCAGUCUUGAGUACGGUUGAGGUAUGCGGAAUUCGUGGUGUAGCGGUGAAAUGCUUAGAUAUCACGAAGAACUCCGAUUGCGAAGGCAGCUUACUAAACUGCCACUGACACUGAUGCUCGAAAGUGUGGGUAUCAAACAGGAUUAGAUACCCGAGUAGUC
rnacentral:rRNA from 1 species